CAAAGGUGAGCCAGUACAGGAUGGACCCGCGUCUGAUUAGCUAGUUGGUAAGGUAACGGCUUACCAAGGCGACGAUCAGUAGCCGACCUGAGAGGGUGAUCGGCCACAUUGGAACUGAGACACGGUCCAAACUCCUACGGGAGGCAGCAGUGGGGAAUAUUGCACAAUGGGCGAAAGCCUGAUGCAGCAACGCCGCGUGAGUGAUGAAGGCCUUCGGGUCGUAAAACUCUGUCCUCAAGGAAGAUAAUGACGGUACUUGAGGAGGAAGCCCCGGCUAACUACGUGCCAGCAGCCGCGGUAAUACGUAGGGGGCUAACGUUAUCCGGAUUUACUGGGCGUAAAGGGUGCGUAGGCGGUCUUUCAAGUCAGGAGUGAAAGGCUACGGCUCAACCGUAGUAAGCUCUUGAAACUGGGAGACUUGAGUGCAGGAGAGGAGAGUGGAAUUCCUAGUGUAGCGGUGAAAUGCGUAGAUAUUAGGAGGAACACCAGUUGCGAAGGCGGCUCUCUGGACUGUAACUGACGCUGAGGCACGAAAGCGUGGGGAGCAAACAGGAUUAGAUACCCUGGUAGUCCACGCUGUAAACGAUGAGUACUAGGUGUCGGGGGUUACCCCCUUCGGUGCCGC
rnacentral:rRNA from 1 species